rnacentral:rRNA from 1 species
UGGGGAAUAUUGCACAAUGGGGGGAACCCUGAUGCAGCGACGCGCGUGAGAGAAAGGUUUUCGAAUCGUAAAGCUCUGUCCUAUGAGAAGAUAAUGACGGUAUCAUAGGAGGAAGCCCCGGCUAAAUACGUGCCAGCAGCCGCGNUAAUACGUAUGGGGCGAGCGUUGUCCGGAAUUAUUGGGCGUAAAGGGUACGUAGGCGGUUUUUUAAGUCAGGUGUGAAAGCGUGAGGCUUAACCUCAUUAAGCACUUGAAACUGGAAGACUUGAGUGAAGGAGAGGAAAGUGGAAUUCCUAGGGUAGCGGUGAAAUGCGUAGAUUUUAGGAGGAAUACCGGUGGCGAAGGCGACUUUCUGGACUUUUACUGACGCUCAGGUACGAAAGCGUGGGGGGCAAACGGGAUUAGAUACCCGGGUAGUCUACGCCGUAAACGAUGAAUGCAAGGUGUGGGGAGUCAAAUCUCGGUGCCGAAGUUAACACAUUAGGCAUUCGGCCUGGGGAGUACGGUGGCAACACUG